ACAUAAAACCCAGCAAAUAGAUGC
rnacentral:siRNA from 1 species